GGGGGCGGGGCCGGGCCGCCGAGCUGGAUGGUCGCAGGCAAGACCAGCUCCUACACCGUUCCAACGUUAAAGCUUUUAAAACAUGACUUUUGAACUAAAAGCAGACCAACAGCAAUGAUCCUCAGUGCAAAGGGAACACUGGAUCCAGGGAGAGGCUGGCUCCUCAAGUUUCAGUCCCCUGGAGGAGAAAUCUUCGAUGUCCCAGUUGGGGCCUUCUCCGGCGGUGAGUGGGGCAGACGGCCGCUGCCCCGCUAUCCUGCCUAACAGAACCCAGCCAGAGGACCAAACCCGCGUGACCCUGGCCCUGUUCCCCCCCCUCUGGACCGGUGGGGGUGAUCCCGGUCCUCACCCUGUUGCCCCGACCGCGGAACUGCAGCCAAGGCGCAGCGACAACACCACCUUGAUCUGCGGCCCGAGCGCUGCAUCUAAAAUGGCGGGCGCCAUGUGCACCGAAGGCAGAGGAAAGAACUGCUCUCUCCCAGCGCUCACAAUAAGCAGCGCGACUCCCGGGCACAAGCUUGAUGGGCUUGCAGCCUUCCUACCUCGCAAUGCAAACAGACGGAAGAACUCUCACCCGUCCCCGCAACAAUCCAAGCCAGCGACAAGCUGUGAAGGCGAUCCAAUCAAGCUGAUGACAGCUGCAGCACAGAGGGGACGGAACACAGCACAACGACCAUACC